AUGGCUGUCGUCAGCUCGUGUCGUGAGAUGUUGGGUUAAGUCCCGCAACGAGCGCAACCCUUAUUCUAUGUUGCCAGCGGAUUAUGCCGGGGACUCGUAGAAGACUGCCGGGGUCAACUCGGAGGAAGGUGGGGACGACGUCAAGUCAUCAUGCCCCUUAUGUCCAGGGCUGCAAACACGCUACAAUGGCCGGUACAAAGGGCUGCUAACUCGCGAGAGCCAGCGAAUCCCGUAAAGCCGGUCUCAGUUCGAAUUGGAGGCUGCAACUCGCCUCCAUGAAGCUGGAGUUGCUAGUAAUCCCGGAUCAGCACGCCGGGGUGAAUACGUUCCCGGGCCUUGUACACACCGCCCGUCACACCACGAAAGUCGGCAACACCCGAAGCCGGUGGCCUAACCCGUAAGGGGAGGAGCCGUCGAAGGUGGGGUCGGUGAUUGGGGUGAAGUCGUAACAAGGUAGCCGUACCGGAAGGUGCGGCUGGAUCACCUCCUUUCUAAGGAGAACAGUUCAAUCGUUGGUAGGCAUUCGUCCUACCCGGUUCGAACCACUCCCAGUUGGUGCAUUGGUGGGUGAGUCGAAAUGGUUGGUCAAUCGCAGGAUUCGUCCUCUUGACACGCCGGCUCGACGAGCUCUGUCUUCUCUUCCGUUUUGAGGGAGUCGCCCGACGCGGGUCGCCGACCUCGGCGAACGGCAUGGAGCUUGCGCUCCCGCUGCCCACGGAGUGCCCUGCACGAUCUAGUCGUGCAUGCGGCCCCGUUCGCUGCCCUUUGAGAACUGCAGAGCAAGCACGAGCAUCUUUGUUCUUCCAAGCUACAAAGAGCCAACGGUGGAUGCCUUGGCGCCAAGAACCGAUGAAGGACGUGAGUGACUGCGAAAAGCUGCGGGUAGCCGUCUACUAGGCAUUGAUCCGCAGAUGUCCGAAUGGGGAAACCCGG
rnacentral:sRNA from 1 species